UUUUAGUUUCCUUCUCAGACGAACACACACAUAUUGCUAGACUCGCUCUCUUUGUCGUCUCUCUCUCGAGCUCUCCGUCUCUCUCUCUAUCUCUCUGGACCCUCUCUCUCUCGAGGUGAUUAGAGCUUCAGAUUGUUGCUUCAACUCUUCUUCUUCGAUUAAUUGGUUAUGAAAUAUGUGCCUUAAUGGAAUAAUGGAUGCUCAUCUCCGCUACUUUAAACAGAGAGACUGAAUCCAGACCACUGGAGGCUUAGGGUGAGACGAUGGCAUGAUGGAGAGGAUGGAGCUGGAACUGUUACUCUUUAUUUUUUAAAUUUCAGUUAAUUGUGAUACUUUAACACUUGUUUUGCCGGUUGUGGAUACACCAUUGUGGGGUGUUUGGAUUUUGAAAUUGUUAAAUUUGGUUACGAGGAUUUUCUUGUUUAGCAACUAUAUGAAUCAUGUUUUAUAUUUAUUAUUAGCACGGUUG